rnacentral:rRNA from 1 species
GACAGAGGGUGCAAACGUUGUUCGGAAUUACUGGGCGUAAAGCGCGUGUAGGCGGACCUGCAAGUCGGGGGUGAAAGCCCGAGGCUCAACCUCGGAACUGCCUUCGAUACUGCGGGUCUCGAGUCCGGGAGAGGUGAGUGGAAUUCCUAGUGUAGAGGUGAAAUUCGUAGAUAUUAGGAAGAACACCGGUGGCGAAGGCGGCCCACUGGCUCGAUACUGACGCUGAGGUGCGAAAGCGUGGGGAGCAAACAGG